rnacentral:rRNA from 1 species
UACAGAGGGGGCAAGCGUUGUUCGGAAUCAUUGGGUUUAAAGGGUCCGCAGGCGGAUUUAUAAGUCAGUGGUGAAAGCCCGUCGCUCAACGACGGAACUGCCAUUGAUACUGUAAGUCUUGAAUUCGGUCGAAGUGGGCGGAAUAUGACAUGUAGCGGUGAAAUGCUUAGAUAUGUCAUAGAACACCGAUAGCGAAGGCAGCUCACUAGGCCUGGAUUGACGCUCAGGGACGAAAGCCAGGGGAGCGAACGGG